rfam:Calypte anna contig4007, whole genome shotgun sequence.
AUGCCUUAAACUUAUGAGUAAGGAAAAUAACGACCCGGGGUGACGCCCGGGUCCUCACUGGGAAUGUGAGAGGAAUUUUUGCGCGGGUACAGGUCGCCCCUAGGUGCCCCGCCUACUUCGCGGGAUGCCCGGGUGCGUGAUCUGCCCG